rnacentral:rRNA from 1 species
CGGGGGGGCGAAGCGUUGUUCGGAAUUACUGGGCGUAAAGGGCUCGUAGGCGGCCAACUAAGUCGGAUGUGAAAUCCCCAGGCUCAACCUGGGAACUGCAUCCGAUACUGGAUGGCUUGAAUUCGGGAGAGGGAUGCAGAAUUCCAGGUGUAGCGGUGAAAUGCGUAGAUAUCUGGAGGAAUACCGGUGGCGAAGGCGGCAUCCUGGACCGACAUUGACGCUGAGGAGCGAAAGCUAGGGGAGCAAACGGGAUUAGAUACCCCGGUAGUCCUAGCCCUAAACGAUGAAUGCUUGGUGUGACGGGUAUCGAUCCCUGUCGUGCCGAAGCUAACGCAUUAAGCAUUCCGCCUGGGGAGUACGGUCGCAAGGCUG